rnacentral:piRNA from 1 species
UACAACUCGGCCUUCCUGCACAUCAGUC